CCCUGCCAUUUGUACACACCGCCCGUCGCUACUACCGAUUGAAUGGCUUAGUGAGCUCUCUGGACUGUUGCUCGUUGUUGGAAACUUCGACUUGCACACGGGAAGGAGAUCAAACUUGAUCAUUUAGAGGAAGUAAAAGUCGUAACAAGGUUUCC
rnacentral:rRNA from 1 species